rnacentral:rRNA from 1 species
GCAUAUCAAUAAGCGGAAGGAAAAGAAACCAACAGGGAUUGCCCUAGUAACGGCGAGUGAAGCGGCAACAGCUCAAAUUUGAAAUCUGGCUUCGGCCCGAAUUGUAAUUUGCAGAGGAUGCUUUUGGCGCGGUGCCUUCUAAGUUCCCUGGAACGGGUCGCCAUAGAGGGUGAGAGCCCCGUACAGCUGGACACCAAGCCUGUGUAAAGCUCCUUCGAUGAGUCGAGUAGUUUGGGAAUGCUGCUCAAAAUGGGAGGUAAAUGCCUUCUAAAGCUAAAUACCGGCCAGAGACCGAUAGCGCACAAGUAGAGUGAUCGAAAGAUGAAAAGCACUUUGAAAAGAGGGUUAAAUAGUACGUGAAAUUGUUGAAAGGGAAGCGCCUGUGACCAGACUUGUGCCCGGUUGAUCAUCCAGCGUUUUCGCUGGUGCACUCUUCCGGCCCAGGCCAGCAUCGGUUUUGGCGGGGGGACAAAGACAGUUGGAAUGUAGCUCCUCGGAGUAUUAUAGCCUUCUGUGGAAUGCCCCUGCGGGGACCGAGGUACGCGCUCUGCAAGGAUGCUGGCGUAAUGGUCAUCAGCGACCCGUCUUGAAACACGGACC